rnacentral:rRNA from 1 species
AUUGAACGCUGGCGGCAUGCUUUACACUUGCAAGUCGCACGGUAACAGGGAGCUUGCUCCGCUGACGAGUGGCGAACGGGUGAGUAAUGCGUCGGAACGUGCCGAGUAGUGGGGGAUAAAGCAUCGACAGGUGUGAUAAUACCGCAUACGUACUGAGGUAGAAAGUGGGGGACCUUCGUGCAUUACGCUAUUCGAGCGGCCGACGUCUGAUUAGCUAGUUGGUGAGGUAAAGGCUCACCAAGGCGACGAUCAGUAGCGGGUCUAAGAGGAUGAUCCGCCACACUGGGUCUGAGACACGGCCCAGACUCCUACGGGAGGCAGCAGUGGGGAAUUUUGGACAAUGGGAGCAAGCCUGAUCCAGCCAUGCCGCGUGUCUGAAGAAGGCCUUCGGGUUGUAAAGGACUUUUGUACGGGAGCAAAUGCCUGGUGUUAAUAGCAUCGGGAGCUGAGAGUACCGGAAGAAUAAGCACCGGCUAACUACGUGCCAGCAGCCGCAGUAAUAC